rnacentral:tRNA from 1 species
GUGUUAGUAGUUUAUUUAGAAUAUCGUCUUUCCAAGUCGAAGGUCUACGUUGGGUGGCUAUCAUA